GGAAAAGCCUUCUUUCAGGCAGUAUACCACUCACUCCCUCACCUCAGAGACCUAUAUACUAGUAUAUAGGUCUCUGCUCACCUGUCUCUAAGGAAGAUUCAAUUCAAAACAAGAUGCUGCAGUCGAAAGAAUAUAAGUAGUUCGAAGAUGGACUCAAAAAUGAAAGUAAAGAGCUGAGAAAGUGACUACAUAAGCACAGAAAGAUACUCUGGUCUACUUUUGGAAAUGGCGUCCGGCUCAAACGACGGUGAUCGGAUAUAUCGGCGUAAGUAUUAUGUACUUGUACAUUUUUGUAGUAGAUAAG